GAGCCGAGUCUGGAUGUCUCUGUUUUGCCUGCUGCCCUCAAAUCCCACUUAAGUGUCAGUGUAGGCCUGAAUGAAUCUUUUUACAGCCAGUGUGGACAGGAGGAAAGAUUUUAACUAAUAACUCUGUCAAACUUGAUAUGGACAGGUUAGUCAAACUAGCAAACAUGUGAACCCAGACCUUUUUAUUUUGAUAUCUGAUCAUCUGAUAGGAGUUUUUCAUUCUGUAAGCAAUAUACACAAUACCUGAAAACAUUUCACGUAGUCUUCUCUAUGCAGUAACCUCAGUAUUGUACCCUUCAUUGUCUUAAGUACGGCUCUCUGAAGCAGCAGGGCAGGUCGGCGGAUGCAGUCGUUCUACGCUGAUUUUUGCUUUAAAUUACUCUUCUAAUAGGAAUCUAAGCAGUGUUUUGCUUUACCACUUUGUAUUUUAUGCUCAGUGAUUCUCAUCGAUGUUUAUUGUCCUGCGACGCCACACAUUACCAUGGCGCGAUUGCUAAUUCAGCAAUGUGUUUUAGGUCAGGAUUCAAUUGACGACAUUUAAAUGGUGCGAGCAGCGCCACCUGUGACUUUUCCUUUCUUUUCCCCCUCUGCUUUGGGAAGUAUCCACUCAAAUAAAGAUGUCUAAUGAUCCACAUCACUGAUCGUCUGUUGCUGUAAGUAAUUGCACUAAAUGUCCUCCUUUACAGUGUUUGAAAUCUGUUGGUAGUUUGAAGAGUUUCAAAAUGUAAAGCACACAAAAAAAUCACGGAGAAAUCACAGGUUGUGCGUUUCUGUAGAUAGCUGUAUUUUUUGUAUAGAUAGCUUCGAUGAUGCUUGUCGUUAAUGCCUUAAAUUCUGCUUUGUACAAUGUGUGAAAUUUAAACGAUGCUCCAGGUAGGCUCAGCGUCCCCGUUUCAGGUUGAAUAAGAGCGAAUCAGAAAUGACAAACAUUCAUAUUUAGAUGUCUCAAAGGUUGACUGUGGCCUUUCUUUGGGACAUGAACUCUGCAACGUUUUGUUUUGGUUUAAUUUUUCUUUUUAAAUUCAUUUCCUAUUCCGUUAAGUUUUUAAUAGAUUCUUUAGGCUCAUAUUUAACAUUCAGAUCGUUUUUCUUUUUUUUUUUUUCCAAUAUGUGGGAAUGGAAAGGAGGCUUUUCUCUGCACUUUUUUUGUACACAAGACAGCAAAAGGAGGCAAUCUAUUAAUUCCUCACAUGCAUAGACAGAUGCACAGUUGUUUUUAUUGUUGUUGCACAGAAUUUGUAGGGUUUUUUUUCUUUCCUCCUUAGGAAUUAAUGGGUUGUGUUCGGUAUUUUGUGCUCUGACAGUCUGAACAGCAGAGGCGGGUUUGGAUAAGUGAGAAAGGCUGCAUAAAGCCAAAACUUUUCUAUCGGUGGUAAUGUGACUCUUUUUCUUUCUUUCUUUCUUUUUUUAAAAAAAAAAUGUUUUGUGGCGUUGCUUGAUGGAAUUUCUAUGUGAACUACUUCCUGUUCAUCCAGUAUUGAACUACAAAGGUGAAUUUAGGACGGUUUUGGUGUCGCUGAUGUCGAAUUAAAUCAGGAGAAAUGAGAACGGUUAAAAGUUUUAAAGAAGUUUGUGUAUUUUCAGAUAUGACUUUGUACUAUUUUUUUUUUCUUCCGCACAUGGUGACACUGCUUUUUAUGUGACGCAUAACUAAAAACAAAACAAAAAACAGCAUCUUUUUUAAAUGCCUAAAUCUGCAAAAUAUAUGCAAUUAUGUAAAUGUAACAUUCAAUCCUCAAGUAUAAUCCAGGUUGUAUGAACUUUGUAUAGUGAGUUUUAAUAUCGUAUGGCCGUACCAAUAUGUAUUGAUCUUAAUCAGAAGCCUUAGAGUUGUCGACCCAAAGUGCUCCCUUAGAAUACCCUACACCUACCUGACUUUAACAAAGCAUUACUAUCUCUAUUUUGUUGCGUUUUUAUUUGUAUCCUUUUUGAAUAAAAUAGAUUUGUACUGUAUAUUUGUACCUCUCUGUGAACUACUUAGAGCGUUUUUUUUCGUUUUGUUUUUUUUGUUGUUUUGAUUUGUUUUGCUGUUUUAAUUCUAUGUACUUUAAGGACACAAAGAUAUUGUAUUUUUAUUGUUACAGCUAACUUGGAGACAUUGCAUUUAUCAUGUUUGUUAAGUAAACACAAUAUAAUAUAUAUAUAUAUAUAUAAAUAUAUAUACAAAUAUAAAUAUAAACAAUUAUCCAACUUGUGUGCU
ensembl:lncRNA